rnacentral:rRNA from 1 species
AGAGAAGCCAGGUGGCGACACCGAGCGGAACUCGAAAGCCUGUCUCAGUUCGGAUCGGAGUCUGCAACCCGACUCCGUGAAGCUGGAUUCGCUAGUAAUCGCGCAUCAGCCAUGGCGCGGUGAAUACGUUCCCGGGCCUUGUACACACCGCCCGUCAAGCCAUGGAAGCCGGGAGUGCCUGAGGUAUGCAACCGCAAGGAGCGUCCUAAGGUAAAACCGGUGACUGGGGCUAAGUCGUAACAAGGUACC